CCUGAAACCCUGUGCCUACAAGCACCUAGAGCACGUCAAUGUGUGAUAGGGUACUUUUUGUAGAACGGUCCGGCGAGCGAUUGUAUGCAGCAAGGUUAAGGACUUAAGGUCUGGAGCCGAAGCGAAAGCGAGUUUGAAAAGGGCGUUAAGUUGCAUAUAAUGGGCCCGAAACCGGGUGACCUACCCAUGGUCAGGUUGAAGUGGAAGUAAAAUUCCAUGGAGGACCGAACCGACCUCCGUUGAAAAGGCGGCGGAUGAACUGUGGGUAGCGGAGAAAUUCCAAUCGAACCCGGAGAUAGCUGGUUCUCCCCGAAAUAGUUUUAGGACUAGCCUCAAGUUAGAUACCUGGAGGUAAAGCACUGAAUAGCCUAGCGGCCGAGAGGUUAGCGAAGCUUAUCAAACUCAGAAUGCCAGAGUAUUGAUGCUUGGGAGUCAGACAGUGUCAGAUAAAUGUCAUUGUCAAAAGGGAAACAGCCCAGAUCUACAGCUAAGGUCCCAAAGUCAGGUUAAGUGGAAAACGAUGUGAAGAUACGCAGACAACCAGGAUGUUGGCUCAGAAGCAGCCACUCAUUCAAAGAGUGCGUAAUAGCUCACUGGUCGAGCGUCUUUGCGCGGAGAAUUUAACGGGGCUAAACCUGACACCGAAGCUUAGGCAAUCCAGUAAUGGAUUGGGUAGGGGAGCGUUGUAUACGCGGAGAAACAGUAGCGUAAGCGGCUGUGGAGUGUAUAGAAGUGAGAAUGCCGGAAUGAGUAGCGCGAAUGCAGUGAGAAUCUGCAUGGCCGAAAGCCUCAGGUUUUUGGAGGAAGGUUCGUCCGCUCCAAGUUAGUCGGGAGCUAAGGUGAGGCCGGAAGGCGUAGCCGAUGCACAGACGGUAGAGAUUCCGUCACCACCAAAAGAGUUAAGCACAGGGACACAUUUGAAGUCUCAGAGCCGGGUGUUGGUUCCGGUAGAGAUCGAGGGAAGUUAGUACCGAAGUCUGAGAUGGAAGAUGGCGAGAAAAGCUGUGUGUAUUUCUGAGGUGCCCGUACCGCAAACCGACACAGGUAGGUAGGAAGAAGAUUCUAAGGCCAACGGGAGAAGGGUUGUUAAGGAACUCGGCAAAUUGACCCCGUAACUUCGGGAGAAGGGGUGCUCCAGAGAUGGAGCCGCAGAGAAUCGGCCCAAGCAACUGUUUACCAAAAACACAGGUUUGUGCUAAAUCGAAAGAUGACGUAUACGAGCUGACGCCUGCCCGGUGCUGGAAGGUUAAGAGGAGAUGUGCAAGCAUUGAAUCGAAGCCCCAGUGAACGGCGGCCGUAACUAUAACGGUCCUAAGGUAGCGAAAUUCCUUGUCAGGUAAGUUCUGACCCGCACGAAAGGUGUAACGAUUUGAGCACUGUCUCGACAACACGCCCGGUGAAAUUGAAGAACCAGUGAAGAUACUGGUUUCCCGCAACAGG
rnacentral:rRNA from 1 species